UACCAGCACCCCGAGUGGUCGGGACGUUUUAUUGGGCCUAAAGCAUCCGUAGCCGGUUCUACGAGUCUUCCGUUAAAUCCAACUGCUUAACAGGUGGGCUGCGGAAGAUACUAUAGAGCUAGGAGGCGGGAGAGGCAAGCGGUACUCGAUGGGUAGGGGUAAAAUCCGUUGAUCCAUUGAAGACCACCAGUGGCGAAGGCGGCUUGCCAGAACGCGCUCGACGGUGGAGGGACGAAAGCUGGGGGAG
rnacentral:rRNA from 1 species